ACAGAAAGAGAUAGCAACAAACUUCCUAACCCCGAUGUAAAAAAGACGGAAGAGAUCGAUGAUGAACGAGGGGCUUAUAAAAUACACUGAACCAAAACAGCAACCUAAAAUCGACUGAUUUGGCUUUCCCCUCCCAGCAAACAAGGUUACUCUAACUUGACCCUAACAUGAGUGUAACCUGUUAGAAAGUUACUCUAAUUUUCUCACUAACGUUAGGGUAAAAUGAGACUAAAAUUAGACAGAUCUGCAACACUUUUGUUAGAUAUGUUUAUGUAAGUUGCAUAAUUUAAUCUAACCUGUUAGCCUCACUUUAGUAUAACGUUAGCAAUGUUUUGCAGUGAGCGGUUAGGGAGUUGUGAGGGUUGUUUUGAAAGGGCUUUCAUGCUGAUUUAUUUACAUUCAGCUGUCAUCCGAGGCAGAAUGUAUAUAUAUGCCUAGUGAAAAUACAUAAUAUACAUAACUGCCUCGAGUAACAGAUGAAUGUAAAUAAAUUAUCAAUAAAAAUCGUCUUAGAAAUUUUCUAUAUUUACCAAAGUAAUUGUUAUACAUUUAGAUUAACAACAUUUAGCUGAAUUAAGACUAUAGGAAGGAAGCAGUUUUGCAAUUUACACAGCAAUUUACAGCCGCCGCCUAUUCCGAAGCGGUCUUCUAUAUUCGAACCGGAACCUGGUCCACCACGAAACUUGCAGCGUAGUAGACGCGAAGCGGUCGCAGCGUAGAUGAUGUCUUUGAGUACGAUGCGGUCCUAUUCCGAUACGGCCUUUUUAAUCGGCCGGGAACCGUACUCUCGUCAUCUAGACAACUACGAGACGCGGACAAGUUCUCUCGCAGGACAGAAACCAGGACAUCCGGAUGAUCAUGAAGAUGGUUCUGGAUCAAAUAGUUGAUUUAAGUGGUAGGUAGAAUGAAUCCGAAUCUUCGUAAUUGUGUAGUCGUCCAAGGACCGCAAAUUAUCAGUGAAUGAACCACAUUAAUUAUAUUACACACUUGUAUGAACAUCAAUAUUUAAAGCCCAAAAUAAACUUCCGAUAGUUGA